rnacentral:rRNA from 1 species
CGUGCCUAAUACAUGCAAGUCGAACGGUCUUUCUAUGGAAGCUUGCUUCCACUGAGAAGAUAGUGGCGAACGGGUGAGUAACACGUGGGUAACCUGCCCAUAAGAGGGGGAUAACAUCCGGAAACGGGUGCUAAUACCGCAUAGUUUUCUUGAUCGCAUGAUCGGGAAAGGAAAGACGGCCUUUGUGCUGUCGCUUAUGGAUGGACCCGCGGCGUAUUAGUUAGUUGGUGAGGUAACGGCUCACCAAGACGAUGAUACGUAGCCGACCUGAGAGGGUGAUCGGCCACAUUGGGACUGAGACACGGCCCAAACUCCUACGGGAGGCAGCAGUAGGGAAUCUUCCGCAAUGGACGAAAGUCUGACGGAGCAACGCCGCGUGAGUGAAAGAAGGUUUUCGGAUCGUAAAACUCUGUUGUCAGAGAAGAACAAGUUGGAGAGUAACUGCUCCAGCCUUGACGGUAUCUGACCAGAAAGCCACGGCUAACUACGUGCCAGCCGCCGC